rnacentral:rRNA from 1 species
GACGAACGCUGGCGGCGUGCCUAAUACAUGCAAGUCGAGCGAUGGAGAUUGGUGCUUGCGCCGAUUUGGAGAGCAGCGAACGGGUGAGUAACGCGUGGGGAAUCUGCCUUUGAGCGGGGGACAACAUUUGGAAACGAAUGCUAAUACCGCAUAACAACUUUAAACAUAAGUUUGAAGUUUGAAAGAUGCAGUUGCAUCACUCAAAGAUGGUCUCGCGUUGUAUUAGCUAGGUGGUGGGGUAAAGGCGCACCAAGGCGAUGUUACAUCGCCGAACUGAGAGGGUGAGCGGCCACACUGGGACUGAGACAGGGCACAAACGCAUUCGGGAGGCGGCAGUAGGGCAUCUUCGGCAAUGGGCGAAAGUCUGUGCGAGAAAGGCCGAGUGAGUGAAGAACGUUGUCGGGUCGUAAAAGUCUGUCGGUAGAGAAGAACGUGGGUGAGCGUGGAACGAUCAUCAAGUGACGGUAACUACCCAGAAAGCGACGGCUAACUACGUG